rnacentral:rRNA from 1 species
AUUAAUAAGCGGAGGAAAAGAAACUAACCAGGAUUCCCUCAGUAACGGCGAGUGAAGCGGGAAGAGCCCAGCACCGAAUCGCACGUCGUCCAGACGUCGCGAACUGUGGUGUUUAGGACUAGCGCAUGUGCGUUGGUCUGGCGUCCGAGUCCUCCUGAUCGGGGCUUUGCCAGAGCGGGUGUCAGCCCUCUACGGCGCCGGAUCGACGUGCCCGCCACGUCCUCGGAGUCGGGUUGUUUGAUAAUGCAGCCCAAAGUGGGUGGUAAACUCCAUCUAAGGCUAAAUACGGACACGAGUCCGAUAGCGAACAAGUACCGUGAGGGAAAGUU